rnacentral:rRNA from 1 species
AGUGAACGCUGGCGGUAGGCCUAACACAUGCAAGUCGAACGGCAGCACAGUAAGAGCUUGCUCUUACGGGUGGCGAGUGGCGGACGGUUGAGGAAUACAUCGGAAUCUACUUUUUCGUGUGGGUUAACGUAGGGAAACUUACGCUAAUACCGCAUACGACCUACGGGUGAAAGCAGGGGAUCUUCUGACCUUGCGCGAUUGAAUGUGCCGAUGUCGGAUUAGCUAGUUGGCGGGGUAAAGGCCCACCAAGGCGACGAUCCGUAGCUGGUCUGAGAGGAUGAUCAGACACACUGGAAGUGAGACACGGACAAGAGUCCUACGGGAGGAAGCAGUGGGGAAUAUGGGACAAUGGGGGGAAGCAUGAUACAGAAAGACCGCGUGGGUGAAGAAGGCCUUAGGGUUGUAAAGACCUUUUGUUGGGAAAGAAAAGCAGCAGGUUAAUACCCCGCUGUUCUGACGGUACCCAAAGAAUAAGCACCGGCUAACUUCGUG